rnacentral:rRNA from 1 species
UCCUAAGGUAGCGAAAUUCCUUGUCGGGUAAGUUCCGACCUGCACGAAUGGCGUAACGACUUUCCCACUGUCUCAACCACGGACUCGGCGAAAUUGCACUACGAGUAAAGAUGCUCGUUACCCGCAGCAGGACGGAAAGACCCCGGGACCUUUACUAUAGCUUGGUAUUGGUGUUCGGUUCGGCUUGUGUAGGAUAGGUGGGAGACUGUGAAGCCGGCACGCCAGUGUCGGUGGAGUCAACGUUGAAAUACCACUCUGGUCGUACUGGAUAUCUAACCUCGGUCCGUGAUCCGGAUCAGGGACAGUGCCUGGUGGGUAGUUUAACUGGGGCGGUUGCCUCCUAAAAGGUAACGGAGGCGCCCAAAGGUUCCCUCAGCCUGGUUGGCAAUCAGGUGUCGAGUGCAAGUGCACAAGGGAGCUUGACUGUGAGACCGACAGGUCGAGCAGGUGCGAAAGCAGGGACUAGUGAUCCGGCAGUGGCUUGUGGAAGCGCUGUCGCUCAACGGAUAAAAGGUACCCCGGGGAUAACAGGCUGAUCCUGCCCAAGAGUCCAUAUCGACGGCAUGGUUUGGCACCUCGAUGUCGGCUCGUCGCAUCCUGGGGCCGUAGCAGGUCCCAAGGGUUGGGCUGUUCGCCCAUUAAAGCGGUACGCGAGCUGGGUUUAGAACGUCGUGAGACAGUUCGGUCCCUAUCCGCUGCGGGCGCAGGAGACUUGAGAAGGGCUGUCCCUAGUACGAGAGGACCGGGACGGACGAACCUCUGGUGUGCCAGUUGUUCCGCCAGGAGCACCGCUGGUUGGCUACGUUCGGAAGGGAUAACCGCUGAAAGCAUCUAAGCGGGAAGCCUGCUUCAAGAUGAGGUCUCCCACACCGCGAGGUGGUAAGGCCCCCAGCUAGACGACUGGGUUGAUAGGCCGGACGUGGAAGCCCAGCAAUGGGUGAAGCUGACCGGUACUAAUAGGCCGAGGACUUGACCAC